GGGGAUCUAGCUCAGUGGUAGAGCGCUUGCCUAGCAUGUGCAAGGCCCUGGGUUCGGUCCCCA
rnacentral:tRNA from 1 species